rnacentral:rRNA from 1 species
GAUGAACGCUGGCGGCGUGCCUAAUACAUGCAAGUCGAGCGAACAGAUGAGGAGCUUGCUCCUCUGACGUUAGCGGCGGACGGGUGAGUAACACGUGGAUAACCUACCUAUAAGACUGGGAUAACUUCGGGAAACCGGAGCUAAUACCGGAUAAUAUAUUGAACCGCAUGGUUCAAUAGUGAAAGACGGUUUUGCUGUCACUUAUAGAUGGAUCCGCGCCGCAUUAGCUAGUUGGUAAGGUAACGGCUUACCAAGGCGACGAUGCGUAGCCGACCUGAGAGGGUGAUCGGCCACACUGGAACUGAGACACGGUCCAGACUCCUACGGGAGGCAGCAGUAGGGAAUCUUCCGUAAUGGGCGAAAGCCUGACGGAGCAACGCCGCGUGAGUGAUGAAGGUCUUCGGAUCGUAAAACUCUGUUAUUAGGGAAGAACAAAUGUGUAAGUAACUAUGCACGUCUUGACGGUACCUAAUCAGAAAGCCACGGCUAACUACGUG